rfam:Culex pipiens quinquefasciatus supercont3.629 genomic scaffold, whole genome shotgun sequence.
CAAACGGCCCUUUUCAGGGCCACCAAAAAGUUCAAAUAAAAGAGUUU